rfam:Phalacrocorax carbo contig132811, whole genome shotgun sequence.
AGGACUAUACUUUCAUAGGUCAUUUCUGUAGUAGGUCACUAGAGCAGGAUGAUUGCACCUGUACAGCAUCACAAGCCAUGAACAGGAGUGGGGUGUUCUCUCCUGAGCUUGAAGCAGGCGGGCGGUGCUGCCUGGGCAGGAGCUGCCCACCAUUGGUGACUGUUCCUGGCCCUCCAGGGGCUGGGAAGGAGAGAGCACAGGCUGAGUGGU